UUUGAUUAUGGCUCAGAUUGAACGCUGGCGGGAUGCUUUACACAUGCAGAAUCGAACGGCAGCACGGACUUCGGUCUGGUGGCGAGUGGCGAACGGGUGAGUAAUGUAUCGGAACGUGCCCUAGUAGCGGGGGAUAACUACGCGAAAGCGUAGCUAAUACCGCAUACGCCCUUCGGGGGAAAGCGGGGGACCUUCGGGCCUCGCACUAUUAGAGCAGCCGAUAUCGGAUUAGCUAGUUGGUGGGGUAACGGCUCACCAAGGCGACGAUCCGUAGCUGGUUUUUGAAGAGGACGACCAGCCACACUGGGACUGGAGACACGAACUCCUGCAAGGAGGCAGCAGUGAAGAAUUUUGGACAAUGGGGAAACCCUGAUCCAGCCAUCCCGCGUGUGCGAUGAAGGCCUUCGGGUUGUAAAGCACUUUUGGCAGGAAAGAAACGGCACGGGAUAAUACCCUGUGCAACUGACGGUACCUGCAGAAUAAGCACCGGUAACUACGUGCCCAACAGCCGCGGUAAUA
rnacentral:misc_RNA from 1 species